GGCCAGGUCACACUGAAAGCAACGGUUAUCGUUUGAUCACCGAAGUUAAGCAUUGUCGAGGCCAGUCAGUACUUCAAUGGGGGAUCACUUGGGAAUACC